GCAUUGGUAGUUCGGUGGCAGAAUUCUCACCUCCCAUGUAGGAAGCCCAGGUUUGAUUCCUGGUCAAUGGU
rnacentral:tRNA from 1 species